CCCGCCCCCCCCCCCCCCCCCGGCUCCCUCUCCCCGCAGGCGCAAUUGCCGUGGCUAGCGCCUCAGUUUUCGAAGAAUGAGGCUGCGAGCCGGGGGAGGGGCGGGGUUGGCGCAUGCGCGAGCUGGCCUGUUUUCCCCGGAGGUGCGGCUCGGGUUCGGUACCUAAGAGCCAGCACACCUCUGCACUGAGAACACUGAGAACAGUGAGAGGAAGGUUUGGCAGAAUAGGAGCAGCGUGAGGAUUUGAAAGUGCAGGGAUUGGGAAUGUGUGCACUGCAUUGUCCAACCUCUGGCAGGAUCUACCCCUCUGAGGUCCUGGUAGAAGACUGGCAGGAAGAGAUAUUUUCUGCUUCUGGCUCCGGAGAGUGGCCAUUGCUAGUGGUUGCUGGAAGUUGCUAGCAUUAGCCAUUUGCUAGCAAAGGUGGGUGAUGCCAGACCCCAGCAGUCUAGAGGAUUUCAUCAGAGAAUCAGGGCGAUUCCAGGGCUGGGCACAUGGCCAUUCAGUGCUUCUCAUCUCUGGGUAUCGCUCCAUUCUUUCCUAUGCCUCCAAAAUCCCUCUUCUUUGCUUUUUUAACUCUUCCAACAGCUUUGUCACCUGUCUCCUGUAUUACAUUCCUUCUGUUUGAAAUACUUAGACUGAUUUUCCAGACUAGACUUGGCCAACACAUCUUCCGCUAAGGUAUUUGAGAAAGAAGAGUGGGUCUCAGCUUUACUCUGAAGCUGCCUGUUGUGAUUCUCUCCUUCAUGCCACACCAGCUAUGCCACAGGUCAAUUCUUGUUUCCUCCUGGGUGCUGACCCUGAUGCCUGCCCUAGAGUCCUUUUGUAGAGGACACUACUGCCAUAGGUCUCAGGAGAGGGACAGAUGAGAGGUAGGUUUUUGUUUUCCACCCCACUGUCGCACCAGUGUGAGUAUACUCUAGACCUUCCAUCAGGCUUGGGGAUGCAAGAAGGUUUAAUAUGCCAGAUGCAUGAACAAUUUGAAAUUACAUAUCUAACAUUCCCAUUCCUUGAAGUCUUAAAAAAAAAAAAAUAGG